rnacentral:rRNA from 1 species
CACUCCUGCGGGAGGCAGCAGUGGGGAAUAUUGCACAAUGGGCGCAAGCCUGAUGCAGCCAUGCCGCGUGUGUGAAGAAGGCCUUCGGGUUGUAAAGCACUUUCAGCGGGGAGGAAGGCGAUACGGUUAACAACCGUGUUGAUUGACGUUACCCGCAGAAGAAGCACCGGCUAACUCCGUGCCAGCAGCCGCGGUAAUACGGAGGGUGCAAGCGUUAAUCGGAAUUACUGGGCGUAAAGCGCACGCAGGCGGUCUGUCAAGUCGGAUGUGAAAUCCCCGGGCUCAACCUGGGAACUGCAUUCGAAACUGGCAGGCUUGAGUCUUGUAGAGGGGGGUAGAAUUCCAGGUGUAGCGGUGAAAUGCGUAGAGAUCUGGAGGAAUACCGGUGGCGAAGGCGGCCCCCUGGACAAAGACUGACGCUCAGGUGCGAAAGCGUUGAGAGCAAACAGGAUUAGAAACCCCUGUAGUCCCAU